AUGGCCUACUUCGAUGAGAAAGCGAAGGAAGAUUCAGAUUUCUUCUACAUGAUAAGAUUGGACGAUGAGGACCGUGUCAGGAAUAUGUAUUGGGUGGAUGGUGCUGCAAGAAGAGCCUACAAACAUUUCCGAGAUUGCAUUUCAUUCAACGCGACGUAUCUCACUAAUAUGUACAAGAUGUCAUGCGCUCCAUUCAUAGGAAUAAAAAACCACAAUCAGUCGUUGCAGUUCGGAUGUGGGCUCGUUCGGAACAAAGACACGGAUGGGUACGUUUGGUUGUUCAAGACCUUCUUGGAGUGCAUGGAUGACCUUGCACCGAUGAACAUAAUAACAGACCAGGAUUUUAGCAUGCGCGCAGGCAUAGAGGAGGUCUUUCCGUUGGCAGUGCACAGGCACUGCAGGUGGCACAUUAUAAAAAAGGCUGAGGAGACGCUAGGACCAUUCUUUGCUGACCGUCCAGAGCUGCACAAGGCAUUCGAGCUGUGCGUGGACCACAGCUUGACAGUGGAGGAGUUUGAAAGGAGCUGGAUGGCCAUGAUUGAAACAUAUCAAGUACAAGAAAUGAGACUCUUGCUAGCCUGUGGGAGAAGCGAAUGUACUGGGUGCCGGCCUACUUCAUGCAGUGCUUCUUCCCAUUUCUGCAGACUACGCAGCACAGCGAGGGGUUCAAUGCUGUUUUGA
rnacentral:rRNA from 1 species